UACGAGGGGGGGCAAGCGUUGUUCGGAAUUAUUGGGCGUAAAGGGCGCGUAGGCGGUGCGGUAAGUCACCUGUGAAAACUCUGGGCUCAACUCAGAGCCUGCAGGCGAAACUGCCGUGCUUGAGUGUGGGAGAGGUGCGUGGAAUUCCCGGUGUAGCGGUGAAAUGCGUAGAGAUCGGGAAGAAUACCCGUGGCGAAGGCGGCCAGCUGGGCCAGGUCCGACACUGAGGCGCGAAAGCGUGGGGAGCAAACAGG
rnacentral:rRNA from 1 species